GGCGAGCAGCCUAUGCCAAAGUACAUCAAGUUUUCUCGAACAGUGAAUGUAUUGUUUCACAGUCGGUAAACUUUUUGCUAAGGUAAAUUGCAUGCUCUUUUCGACAAGACUCGUCAUGCUGACCCAAUACACCUCGUAGACCCCUCGAAGGUCGUCCAGUACAGAAUUUGAUGGUCGUCCCUCUACAGGGAUACGUCAGAAUCAGAGGCUCCUGCAACUUAUUCUUU
rnacentral:lncRNA from 1 species